rnacentral:rRNA from 1 species
AGUGAGCGCUGGCGGUAGGCCUAACACAUGCAAGUCGAACGGCAGCACAGUAAGAGCUUGCUCUUACGGGUGGCGAGUGGCGGACGGGUGAGGAAUACAUCGGAAUCUACUUUUUCGUGGGGGAUAACGUAGGGAAACUUACGCUAAUACCGCAUACGACCUACGGGUGAAAGCAGGGGAUCUUCGGACCUUGCGCGAUUGAAUGAGCCGAUGUCGGAUUAGCUAGUUGGCGGGGUAAAGGCCCACCAAGGCGACGAUCCGUAGCUGGUCUGAGAGGAUGAUCAGCCACACUGGAACUGAGACACGGUCCAGACUCCUACGGGAGGCAGCAGUGGGGAAUAUUGGACAAUGGGCGCAAGCCUGAUCCAGCCAUACCGCGUGGGUGAAGAAGGCCUUCGGGUUGUAAAGCCCUUUUGCUGGGAAAGAAAAGCAGCAGGUUAAUACCCCGCUGUUCUGACGGUACUCAAAGAAUAAGCACCGGCUAACUUCGUG